AAAAAAAGCUGAGUAGGGACUAUGAAAUGUAAACAUUAGAUAAGAAAAAUAUAAAAAUAAGUUUGUUUGAAUAAUUGGAAAGGGCUACAUGGUGAUACAGUGCUAAAGUUCUAAAAUGGAGGAAGAAACAAAGACCCUUUCAGAACUUUAAUAUCUUCAAAGGUUAUUAAAAGAGAUGAAUCACAUAAUAGAGGACUGGGUGUGUAAUAGUUCUCUUCUAUGAUUUUUAAGAAAGGAAAGAGAAGGGAGUGUUAGAGGAGGAAUAUUCAAGUACAGAAAAGAACUAGAGAGUAAAACUUGCUAUUUCUAAUUAUUGGGUUGGUGUGCAUCUUAAAAUUUCUCAGACUCUACCUUGGAACAUUUGGUUAAGGCUAUUCCCCAUUUUAAACAAGGUACUUGGUCAGGAAUGUAUUGGGAACUUUAACAUUACUCCACCCAUACUUAGGCAUACUUUAGGGGAAGAUAAAGUUGUAAACUCCUGAUGGAACAAUGAGAAAAAGUCCCCAACCCAUACUUAUAGUAAAGCUAGAACCUUAAGCUAGGUCUAUUUUUAGAUCUAAUACAAAAGGGUGCUAAGUACCUAUGAAGGUCAAAUUAAUCACUGAAAAGUCAAGCAACUUACAAAGGGCAAGCUUAGCAAGAGGUGUGAAGUUUUAGUCUACUUAGGUAAGGUGAUUAACAAACGAAGAUGUGAAUUAAGAAUGGUCAGUCCUGUGGAAAACAUCUACUGUGAUUGGUAGAUGUGAAAAUUUAGGGGAGGUGACAUAAGAGAAAUUUCUCUUUAAAAGGAGCUGGCUCUCUCAACUUAGGAAGAGUUCGUGAGUUGGAUCUCGGACUAGUUGGAGUAGCUGGGCCUCUGAACUUAGUUGGAGUUUUGCUUGGGACAAAAUCUUGUGGUGGAGGCUGAAAGACCUCACAUCCAGCUCAGACCUUGACUAGAGCAGAUGUUUCUCAGAGGCUGUUUCUACAGGACAUUUGGGCAGAGUCCAGCCUGGAAACAAAGUAUUAAUAGGUCACCAUCUCCUGAUUUAGAUGAUCAGGAUUUGUCAUUCACCUGGAAGGUAGAGCAGUGGAGCCUUCACCUGAGGGGGGUUUGGAACUCCAGAAUGACAGCCACAGCUUCUCAAUGUAGUGAAACUGAAGAUUCAUUACAACAUCCAAAGUUGCCUAAGAAUAAAGACAACUUUUUAAAAUA